GUAGUGUUUAGGCGCGUCGCUCCUGGAGCCGAGGGAGCUAGUGAGAGACCUCGUCAUCUUGCUGGAGGUGCUCCACCACAGUCCCCAGGACCACCCGCUUGAGGUGCUCCAUCACAGUCCCCAGAUCCACCUGCUGCAGGUGUUGCACCACAGUCCCCAGGACCACCUGCUGCAGGUGUUGCACCACAGUCCCCAGGAUCACCUGCUGCAGGUGCUCCACCACAGUCCCCAGGAUCACCUGCUGCAGGUGCUCCACCACAGUCCCCAGGAUCACCUGCUGCAGGUGCUCCACCACAGUCCCCAGGAUCACCUGGUGGAGGUGCUCCACCACAAAAGAUGCCGAGCUGCUGAACCUGACAUGUCGGCAGAUGAUGAUGACAUUCUGAACUUGACAUAGUAUGUAAGAGCACCUCAGACAGACGAGUGACCUUAGUCACAUAAAGGAAAAAAAAUAUCUAAACAGUCAUCUUCAGGGACUCUUCUGAGUACACAUGAGAACGACACUUGUCUGAGCUCUACAUGAGAGUUCUGUUUGUUCACACAGUAUGUUUGCUCAGCAUGCCUCUCCCCGGGAGGUAAAGAGUAACAAGCCUUCGAGUUAUUUCACACGUCAAAAUGUGUUUCAAAUACAACUGCUAGAGUGAAGGAUGAGGAAAAGAACUAUUAUUGAAACACCAGCGACUGUGACGUAAUGAAAUAGUACCUGUCAAGUAUCCAGAGCAGGACAAAGAUAGUUUGUAAUGGUCUACACACGGCUGUCAACCAUGCGGAGAACAUGCUGAUGAUGUUCAACCAAAAACAGUGAAACUUUAAAAAAAAUCAAAACAAUAUACUUGAGAUAUUUAUUGAAGGCGAACGAACUGGAUAUUAGCAGGUAAGGUUCUUGUGACGGUGCAGGAACAAACUAGUUAAUGAACUAUAGUGAUUAUGUGUCGGUGUUAACAAGAAGAAGAAGUAAGUAGUAUCGUCUUUGUGCUAAUUAGUGAUCAGUGAUGGUUUGUUUACUAUCAGAAAAUGAAAAAAAUGACAAAAAACUAUGACAGUGAGGUGAUGUGUGAUGAUGAGAGAGAAAGUGAGCUAUAGUGAGUGUUGAGAGCUACUAAGUGUACCUCAGUCUGGUAGUGAUAGUGACUGAACCUGAAAAAAAAAUGUCGCUACGUGUGUCUUUGUGACUAAAAGUAACAUUUGUCACUCCUAACAAUGGCCGGGAUUUGGACAACUAUAUUAUAUUUCAUCCUGAUGGCGACGACCGUGUGGGCCACUAGAGGUGUGAAGGAGCAGGUGUUCCGCGUAACUCCCAGGAGCGUGCAGGUGAAGGUGGGAGAGGAGGUGCUGCUGCGCUGUGUGGUGGACAACCAACAAGGCAACGUUCAGUGGACCAAG